CCUUCUGAUUGGCGGGCGACGUCGGCGCGUUUUUCGGAGGAUGAACAUGGCAGAGAUCCGCGAAUAAAUACGGAUGAAGGAGCGCCUGCGGGUCUUCUCUCCGGGAUUCGCUCAGCACAGCCGAGUUCGUGCCACCUCCUUUCGUCAGCGUCCAAACUGUUCCCAGUGUACAACAAGGAAAGAUGUUUAGUCAGAGUGAAGGCUUUUCAGAAGGAGUGCAAGAAGCCCUGCUGGAGGACAUCAGGUUAUCCAACCCUGGUUUUCCAGUGAAGAGAUUUUUCAAUUUGUUGUCUAGGAAGCACAGGCAAUAUCAUCUGGACUGUCCUGGUUCAGAGCUCACAGAAGAAGGGAGAAGUGAUGGGCAAAACCUGGUUAAAACACCCAAACGGCGACUGUGCUGCCAGGGGCCUGAGGGGGGCGCUGCUCUAGAGUCCACUUGUCCACCCUGGACCUCUUUGGAGCGCUCGGCUCGUGUGAAGCCAGGCUUCAGGAACAGGAUGAGUCGAACACAGAGACUCAGGCAGCAGAGGGACACAGCAGGUCCUUUGGUGGCACCUACAACCGUACAACCAGGUUUGACUGAUUUCUAAAUAGAACAUCUUUACUACUGAACUUUCAUUUGUUUGAGUAUAAUUGCUUUUUAAACAAGUAAAAAUAAAGUGC
rnacentral:lncRNA from 1 species